rnacentral:rRNA from 1 species
CCUACGGGAGGCAGCAGUGGGGAAUAUUGGGCAAUGGAGGAAACUCUGACCCAGCAACGCCGCGUGAAUGAUGAAGGUCCUCGGAUUGUAAAGUUCUUUUUUAAGGGAAGUAGAAAGUGACGGUACCUUCGGAAUAAGCCUAGGGUAACUACGUGCCAGCAGCCGCGGUAAUACAGCUGAGGCAAGCGUUAUGAGGAAUGAGUGGGCGUAAUGGGAGCGUAGGUGGUUGGACAAGUUGGUAGGGUAACUCCGGGGCUCAACGUCGGCACUGUUACCAAUACUGUCAGACUUGAGAGCAGGAGAGGUAGGUGGAAUGUAUGGUGUAGCGGUGGAAUGCGUAGAUAUUAGGAAGAACACCGAUGGCGAAGGCGGUUUACUAAACUGUAACUGACACGGAGGCACGAAAGCGUGGGGAGCAAACAGGAUUAGAUACCCCGGUAGUC